CCUACGGGUGGCAGCAGUGGGGAAUAUUGCACAAUGGGGGAAACCCUGAUGCAGCGACGCCGCGUGAGUGAAGAAGUAAUUCGUUAUGUAAAGCUCUAUCAGCAGGGAAGAAAAUGACGGUACCUGAGUAAGAAGCCCCGGCUAACUACGUGCCAGCAGCCGCGGUAAUACGUAGGGGGCAAGCGUUAUCCGGAUUUACUGGGUGUAAAGGGAGCGUAGACGGCAGUGCAAGUCUGGAGUGAAAGGCCGGGGCUCAACCCCCGGACUGCUCUGGAAACUGUGCGGCUGGAGUGCAGGAGAGGUAAGUGGAAGUCCUAGUGUAGCGGUGAAAUGCGUAGAUAUCAGGAGGAACACCGGUGGCGAAGGCGGCCUGCUGGACUGCGACUGACGUUGAGGCCCGAAAGCGUGGGGAGCAAACAGGAUUAGAUACCCCGGUAGUC
rnacentral:rRNA from 1 species